rnacentral:rRNA from 1 species
AUGAGACCGACUGACUCGCCAUUCUGGAAGGGACUUAUGCGAACGAAUGACUUGUUCUUUCGUAGGUUCAAAUUCUUGGUUGGCAAUGGGAUGUCAACAAGAUUUUGGGAGGAUACGUGGUUAGGAGAGACGCCCCUGGCCGUCCAAUAUCCUACCCUCUAUAAUAUUGUGCAAUGUAAGGAGGAUUACGUAGGCACGGUCCUUCAAACUAUUCCCUUGAACAUCUAG